CCUACGGGAGGUAGCAGUAGGGAAUCUUUCACAAUGGGCGAAAGCCUGAUGGAGCAACGCCGCGUGCAGGAUGAAGGCCUUCGGGUUGUAAACUGCUUUUAUAAGCGAGAAAUAUGAUGGUAACUUAUGAAUAAGGAUUGGCUAACUACGUGCCAGCAACCGCGGUCAUACGUAGGACCCGAGCCUUAUCCGGGGUGACUGGGUGUAAAGAGUUGCGUAGGUGGCAUAAUAAGUAGCUAGUGAAAUCUGGUGGCUCAACCAUUCAGACUAUUAGCUAAACUGGUAAGCUAGAGUCUGUUAGGGGUAAGUGGAAUUUCAGGUGUAGGAGUGAAAUCCGUAGAUAUUAGAAGGAACACCAGUAGCGUAGGCAAGUAACUGGCACGGUUCUGACGCUAAGGCGCGAAAGCGUAGGUAGCAAACGGGAUUAGAUACCCGAGUAGUC
rnacentral:rRNA from 1 species